CCUGGAACCAAAGGCAAAUCUCACUGGUCAGACCAGGCAGGACCUGUCCCCAGUAAGAGCACAUGACCUGGUGACGCCGCCGCGGCUGUGCAUUUAAGAGGUUUUGGAAGCAUUCUGGACGUCUGGAGACAGAACAGAGCCUGGGGAGGUGAGUCCUAAGAGACUCUUCAGAAGAGGUCUCCACAGAACUGGCCCCAUGAAGCUGUUGUACAUUCUCAUCUUCAUCAUCUCCCUCAUGUCUCAAGUGACGCCAGCUUAUGGGCACAGUGCAAUGCACACUUGGUGUGACUGGAGUGUAAGUGUGUGCCUGCGGAAGAAGAUAAACUGCACCAAGCGCAUGCCCGGCAUGUGCCCUGGAAGAAGCUUCUGUUGUCUGAGAAUGAAGUGAGCCCAAGAAUUCAUGUUUCAUGCCCUGACCCUGUGUUCAGUAAAUUGAAGAGUUCAUGUUUAA